UACGCAGGGUGCAAGCGUUGUCCGGAAUUAUUGGGCGUAAAGAGCUCGUAGGCGGUUUGUCGCGUCUGCUGUGAAAACUCGGGGCUUAACCCCGGGCCUGCAGUGGGUACGGGCAGACUAGAGUGCGGUAGGGGAGACUGGAAUUCCUGGUGUAGCGGUGAAAUGCGCAGAUAUCAGGAGGAACACCGGUGGCGAAGGCGGGUCUCUGGGCCGUAACUGACGCUGAGGAGCGAAAGCAUGGGGAGCGAACAGG
rnacentral:rRNA from 1 species